rnacentral:lncRNA from 1 species
UUUUUUUUUCUUUUUUUUUGGUCAUUUUAGGGCCACACCUGCAGCAUACGGAGGUUCCCAAGCUAGGGGUUGAACUUUGAGCUACAGCUGCGGGUCUAUACCACAGCAACAGCAAUGCCAGAUCUGAUUCACAUCCAUAACCUAAGCCAUAGCUUGCAGCAAUGCCAGAUCUUUAACCCACUGAGUGAGGCCACAGCUCGAAUCUGCAUCCUCAUGGAUGCUUAGCUGGCUUCUUACCCCACUGAGCCACAAUGGCAAUUCCACCCACUCUAUUCUUAAUAUAGUAUCCAGUGAUUCUUUUUUUUUUUUUUUUUUUUUAAAUCUAAGCCAGAUCAUGUGGCUCCUGUGCUCAAAACUCUCCCCAUCACACAGAGUAAGACCAAGGUCCUUCAAGGUCCUGGACAACUACACAUGACCUGGCAGCCAUUAUUUCUCUGAUACCAUCACCUACCACAGUUGCUUCCUGUUCUCCAACCACACUGGCCCCUUGUGCUUUGAAAGAAUGGAGAAGAGACAUGUGGUGGGGUAUGGGUACAAACAACAGUCUGUCACACAAACUCUUAUUUUGAAUGGACAUAAAAUACACUCCAUCUGCAUUACAUAUUAUUACUUUGAGCCUUAAUUUCUUUUUUUUUUGUUGUUGUUGUUGUUGUUGUUGCUAUUUCUUGGGCCAUUAAGUUUGCAGUGGUUUGUCAUCUAGGAAGAGAUAACUGGAAAUUCAUUUUUUCCAUGCCAUUUUUGAUUCCUAUUUCUCUAAGUUAGCAUGUACUUCACUGCCCUCCUCCUUCCAUACUUCAACUUUUGUCUCUCUUCCCUUACUUGAGUGUUUCUUUUGUUCUUUCUUCCAUUUUAACAUAAUGGCAAACAUUUCAAAUAAGCAAUUCUAUUAAGAGACAUAUUGGCCAUACAUAUUGGAGAAAUGAUUUUUGAUGUUAUAUCUUUGAAAUACAUUGCUUUUCAUUAUGUUGAUGUGGGUUCACAUUUGACUACUUUUAUGUAAGUCAUUUUUCUAAAAAAACUGUUGUCUAAACAUUUUUGAUGAAACAUCAAUCUUAAGUCCUACCAGUUAUAUUUCACAGGCUGCUAUGAGAACCAUUAGUCUUCAUCUGGUUUGUCGUACCUCAAUAUAAAAGACACAAAGUUUUUCUUUAAACUACAAGAACAAUAUAGUACCUAAAGUAAAGUAAAUAGUAAUCAAAGCUUUUACUUACAGAGGUUAUCUCUGAAUAUUGCUAACUGGUGAUUUUUACUUCUUCAUGAUUUCCAAAUUUCUGCAGUAAACAUGUGUUCCUUUUAUAAUAACCAAAAAUAGAUUUUUAAUUUAUGCAUAUUAGCAUUUAAAAAAAGUUCUAAAUUGUUUUAUCUUUAAACAGGGGUGGGGUUCAUCUAAUAUUUUUUUUCUUCUUGUUUCUUUUCAGUUUAACCCAGAACUUUAAUCAUAAAAAAAAAUUCAGGUGACUAGCCCAUGCUAAAGGGAGCUGUGGGUAGUUCCAAAGUUUAUUCUUAAACUAAGCUGGGGAGUUCUGUCACAGAUCUCCUAGUCCAGUAAUCUAAGAAAAUUUCUUUUUAUUGGUACAUAUUUUAUUUCUCCCACAUAACUUUAAGUUAACAGUAUCACAAUAAAAAACAAUUCAAUUAUUUAGAUCUACUUAAUUCCUUUCUCUGUAGGUCAGUUCAGCUUAUUAUGUUUUGUAGCAGCUGCUUGUUCUAUCCUACCUCGAGCCAUGUGGCUCUUUCCCAUGUCUUUCCAUCCACUCAAUGACUAGGCUUCAGUUAGUCAAUGUUUUUGAAUUAAAAAAAAAAAAGACCAAUGUAGGAAAGAGAGGGUAGGAAUUUCAGCAUCCUUUCUCAUGGAUGCUUGUGGGGGUUAGCACAUCCCAGUUCCUCUAAGUCUCUCUUCUUUUCCAGCUGGAUGAGUCCCCAUAAACAAGGAGGGAUGAAUGUUCCUUCCCAGAGAAAGUGAACCUAAAAUGGGUUCAGAAAUUCCACCUGGCCAGUGCAAUGCCUCUAUUACUAUGAAAGUUGGCCCAAAGUGAUGAAAUCAUGUGUUUGGAUUUUUACAUUCUCCCCAGCACUAAGACUCUAAGUGGUCUGACUUUUCCUUCUGGAACCAGAUACCAAAUGGCACUUAGUCCAGGUCUCUUAGUAUCUCUUCAUAUACUGAAGGGAAUGGGAUUUCUAUGAACAGUGAAGAACUGUUACUUGAAAAAAAGAAGUUAACUUGCAGUUCUUUGGUGAGUGGGAAGAGUUUUAGUUGUGAUGACCUUCUUAUUAGUUCAUUUCAAGAUGGUUUCUCCCUUUCCACAACACUUUUUAAAGAACUAAUAAGACCUCUAAUUCACUAAUCAUCUCUAUUCUGAUGACCCCUACACAUUUAUGUUUGGCAGUAACUCUGAUCUCUACUUCAAAUUUCCACUUGGAUAGACACCUCCAAAGUCCCAUGUUCAAAAUUGAACUUAGGAUCUUCUUUAUCCCAUAGACCUAGUCCUCCUCUCAGGAUUUCCUCAUUGGCUCUGCCAAUGCUGAUAGCACCUAUUGUCCAGGACACACUGUUGUAUCUCCUACAUUCAACAAAAUGCCUAGCAUAUAGCUGAUACUUAAUAUUGUCUUGAAUCUGGAAUACUUUUAUGGCGAAUGCCAAUAAGACUCUCAACCUUCUCAAAGACCAAUAAAAUGGAUUUAUGGUUCAUCCAAAAAUUCAAGCAAAUCUUUUUUUAAAAUUUUUUUUUAGGGCUGCACCUGUGGCAUAUGGAAGUUCCCAGGCUAAGGGCUGAAUCAGAGCCACAGCAAUGCUUGAUCUGAGCUGCGUCUGUGACCGACACCGCAGCUCACAGAAAUACCUUAUCUUUAUCUCACUGAAUGGAGCCAGGGGUCGAAACCACAGCCUCAUGGAUACUAGGCAAAUUUGUUACCACUGAGGUACAACAGGAACUCCCAAGCAAAUCUCUACUGCCUCUAAAAUCCAGAUUCUUUCUUCAUGCCAAAGCUACUGCUAUUUACUAAAACAGUUGAAUGCCUUCUAAAAUUCCCAUCAUUAUUGUGCAUCAACAUGCAGUUAAAUGAAUGAAUUGAUUAUAAUUUUCUCUGCUCUAUCAAAUUUCUACUUCUCAAACUGUGCUUCAUGAAUGUGUCACUGCUGGAAAAUGAACACUAACUGUGCAUUCAGGGCAUUUAACAGCAAAUUUGAGUGAAGUGUUGAUAUCUUGAUAGGAAAGAUUUCUUUGAGCUCUACUAAGCAUUUUUGAAGGCAAAUUGUGUCAGCAGACUGAAAUUACAUGCAAAAUUAUCUAAACUAUUUUACAUAUGCUAGACAGUCACACUUUAUAGCAAAUGAAGCUUUCAAAAUGGAGGGUAUGAAGCUGAAUAAUAUCAACCUCUGGUUAAUUACCUCCAAUACAGGUCUCUACUCAAGGAUAAAGGCAUAAAAUGCAACUGUGGUAUACAACAGUGUGAGACUUCAGGGAAAAAGUGGAGGAUGUUAUUACAGCCCUCCAUCACACACAUGGGGCAACUGUUAUAUUUUACCUACUAUUUUACGGAUUUAUCAAGUACUUAAUGUUCUAAGGGAUGCAUUAUUCCUGGAAUUGGUCCAUUACUUUACUGCUCUUUACAUAGUAUAAGCAGAGUAGGGCAUACCUUGGAGGAACAAAGGAGGCUUCCUCUUAUGCUGAGCUUUCUUUGCUCCAGAUCACCUUAAUCACAUUAAACAGUUGUUGGUUAACUAAAUCCGUUGGCAGUAUACCACUAAUUGUUCAGUCAUCACACCUUGAGGGCAAAUAAUGUAAUUUUCUCAGUCACCUGCGCUCUGAUUUGACCAUUCUCAGCUUUUGCUUUCGACUAUUCAACAAGAUCCUGAAAAAUAAGUAAUGAAAUCUGCAUGUGAUACAAAACCCAGUAGAAAAUCCUUCAGUUCUAAAAAUAAAAAUCCAAAGUAUUGUGUCCAUUUGAAUAAUCUGAAAAUUUUCAAUAAGAAAUAUGUCUCUUAGACAUGGUUAGGUAAGAGAAUUAUCUCCUCACUUUUUACUUGGAAUGUUGCCACAUUCCCUCACUUACUCUUUUUCUAGGCCAGAAAUAUUUCAUGAUAAUAAUAAUAAUGGCUAAUUUACUGAGCAGUUACAAUGUGUCAAGAACCUUAUUUAGAGCAGGGUUUCUCAACCUUGGUUCUACUGACAUUUUGGACCAGAUAACUCUGUUGUGGGACAUGCAUUCAGGAUGUUUAGGAGCAUCUCAAGCCCCCACUCUCCCAGACUCCACCCACACCCAGUAUGACAUCCAUAAACAUCUCUAGAAAUUGAUAAAUAUUCCCUAAUGGGCAAAACUGCCUCCAGUUGAGAUUUACCACCUUAGAUAUAUCAAUUUACUUAAUUCUCUAAACAACUCCAUGAGGAAAGUUCCACUUUCCAAAGUAUAGGUGAGGAAAGAGAGGAACAGAAAGAUUCAACAAUUUGCCUAAAGUCACUCAGCUCCCAGGGAUACAGCCAGUAUUUGAUCAAGGUAGUCUGACUCCAGAGCUCUAACUCUUAACUGCUGCUCUAGAAACCUGACCUCUUUUUGACUUUUUAGGGCUUAACGAAAUGAGGCUUGUUGGAUCAGAAUCCCUUCCAAAGUUAUUUCAGGGUGAAGGAAAUGCUUCAGCAAUUAAGAUUGAUUUAGGAAUUGAAACUGACUUGAAAGAAAGAGGGGAAUGAGGUCGUCACUUAUAUCUGAGUCAUGGUAAUUGAAAGAUGGUUUUAAAUUGGAGGAUUACCCACGUAUAAAAAAAACUAAAAACCCAGAGCUUGAUAACUUUGUUCUUCUACCACCUAAAUCAUUUUUACAUCUAAGUAGAAUAGAUGCCGAGUAUAAUUUAAGCACCUCCUCUUAACGGCAAUGUCUGGCCCACCAGCCAGCAUAAUUCUCAUCAUUAGAUUCUCUCCUGUAAUUGGAGAUUUAUAUCUUCCAAUUAGAAAAUUCAUUUGCAGAUGACCCUUGUUAAAAUGCUAAUAUCCAUAUUAAGCUCUGUUAGUCUUCGUUUAAAUAAAUUAAUCAAAUUAGUUAGUGAGUCAUUUAGCAAGCCAUUAGUAAGUAAAUUACAAAACAUAAAGUUCUGAUGGCCCAGAGGCAGGGAAAAUCUGGUUACAAGAUGUUUUGCAGAGAAGCCACACAUGGGGCUGGUAGGACCAUGUGGGGCAGUACAAGAUAAGCAAGGUGCUGGGCAGGCGGACAGGCGUCCAGCAGUGAGGAAGCAUGGAGAGUCACUUACAAGGAAACUUGCCUCCUUUCUGUCUUCCCUAGUUUCCUAUUAUUGACAAUCUCUUUUCCCAUGCGUAUUACAGAGUUCUUUCCUCAAAAUGCAGAUUGGUCCCAGGUUAUCCUAGAAGGCUGCACAGCAGACCUGCCACUUUUAUAGCAAACUUUGAGGGGCUGAAAAUUCCCCCAAAUGGCACUGCUCUUCCUUGAAUCAGCUACUCAAACUUCUUUCCACUUGAAUGAUACAUGGUUUUCUAUGUGCAAGAAACGUGAGCCUGAAUUUGCAAUGUAUAUGGUUUUUCCAUGGUCCUGGCUUCUCCAAACAUCUUGUGGAAAACACAAUUUCACCAUCUUUCAUAGGACAAGGGACAGAGGGUGAGGGUGCUCCUUGCUGUCUUAGGUAGGGAGGCAAAAAGGAAUUUCAUUCCUUCUCCCUCUACUUAGUAUCUCUAAAUAAAUGCAAGUAGACACUCACUUGUUUUGAUACAGAAAACAUCAGUCACUACAUUAAAAGGUUUCCUAUCUGGGAGUGCUCAUUGUAAGAAUUUUUCUUCAAAAAAAAAAAAGAAUAAAUUGCAACUGAAAUCUAAACUAGACUGUAAUUAAGCAGUUUAAAUCUGCUCAAAACAAUUUUCAAGUAUUUAAAUGCUAACAGAAAACUUCUUCAAAAAUAUGAAUAAUAGAUAAGGAAAUGGGACUCAAGGUUCAUAACUGAUACAGCAAGAAAAAUUUUUAUUGUGGAACUAUUAAAGGACUAUGAUUUUUAAAAAGAAAGCCAUCAUGCAGAUUAAAAAGCUAGGCUGGGUGGUUAACUGCAAGAGUGACCAGAUAAACCUCACCUAAGCAUACCACAAUUAUCAAGUAGGCUUAGAGAUGGAAAGUUGCCCUAUCUCUGAUCAAACUACCCGGCCUUUUGAAAAAUCAAGGUGAAAGAUAAGCAUAUACAAACUUGCAUUUAAAAAAAAAAAACACUUCUAUUUAUUAUAUUUUGCAACUAUGAUCUUUUAAAGCCGUGGCCUUAGGAAAAUCUGCUUUGGCAAGCGACUGCAGAGGCUCCUGUGGAGAGGAAGUGAAAAGACUGGGCUUAUAUACAAGGGCUGCUGGCACGUUCAAAGCGCAGGGGAUAGUUCACAGAGCAAAAUGUAGUCCUAAGUAAAUGGGUUUCAGGCAAUUUCAGUGUUAAGAUAACAUC